rnacentral:rRNA from 1 species
GACGAACGCUGGCGGCGUGCCUAAUACAUGCAAGUAGAACGCUGAAGAGAGGAGCUUACUCUUCUUGGAUGAGUUGCGAACGGGUGAGUAACGCGUAGGUAACCUGCCUUGUAGCGGGGGAUAACUAUUGGAAACGAUAGCUAAUACCGCAUAACAAUGGAUGACACAUGUCAUUUAUUUGAAAGGGGCAAUUGCUCCACUACAAGAUGGACCUGCGUUGUAUUAGCUAGUAGGUGAGGUAAUGGCUCACCUAGGCGACGAUACAUAGCCGACCUGAGAGGGUGAUCGGCCACACUGGGACUGAGACACGGCCCAGACUCCUACGGGAGGCAGCAGUAGGGAAUCUUCGGCAAUGGGGGCAACCCUGACCGAGCAACGCCGCGGGAGUGAAGAAGGGUUUCGGAUCGGAAAGCUCUGUUGUAAGUCAAGAACGGGUGUGAGAGUGGAAAGUUCACACUGUGACGGUAGCUUAACAGAAAGGGACGGCUAACUACGUG